CCUACGGGCGGCUGCAGUGAGGAAUAUUGGUCAAUGGGCGAGAGCCUGAACCAGCCAAGUCGCGUGAAGGAUGACGGCCCUACGGGUUGUAAACUUCUUUUGUCAGGGAGCAAUUGGCUCCACCCGUGGGCUUAGCGAGAGUACCUGAAGAAAAAGCAUCGGCUAACUCCGUUCCAGCAGCCGCGGUAAUACGGAGGAUUCGAUCGUUAUCCGGAUUUGUUGGGUUUAAAGGGUGCGUAGGCGGAAUAUCAAGUCAGCGGUAAAAAUUCGGGGCCCAACCCCGUAGUGCCGUUGAAACUGAUGUUCUUGAGUGGGCGAGAAGUAUGCGGAAUGCGUGGUGUAGCGGUGAAAUGCAUAGAUAUCACGCAGAACUCCGAUUGCGAAGGCAGCAUACCGGCGCCCAACUGACGCUGAAGCACGAAAGCGUGGGUAUCGAACAGGAUUAGAUACCCUAGUAGUC
rnacentral:rRNA from 1 species